rnacentral:rRNA from 1 species
AUUGAACGCUGGCGGCAGGCUUAACACAUGCAAGUCGAGCGGAGAUGAGGUGCUUGCACCUUAUCUUAGCGGCGGACGGGUGAGUAAUGCUUAGGAAUCUGCCUAUUAGUGGGGGACAACAUUCCGAAAGGAAUGCUAAUACCGCAUACGUCCUACGGGAGAAAGCAGGGGAUCUUCGGACCUUGCGCUAAUAUAUGAGCCUAAGUCGGAUUAGGUAGUUGGUGGGGUAAAGGCCUACCAAGGCGACGAUCUGUAGCGGGUCUGAGAGGAUGAUCCGCCACACUGGGACUGAGACACGGCCCAGACUCCUACGGGAGGCAGCAGUGGGGAAUAUUGGACAAUGGGGGGAACCCUGAUCCAGCCAUGCCGCGUGUGUGAAGAAGGCCUUUUGGUUGUAAAGCACUUUAAGCGAGGAGGAGGCUACCUGGAUUAAUACUCUAGGAUAGUGGACGUUACUCGCAGAAUAAGCACCGGCUAACUCUGUGCCAGCCGCCGCAGUAAUAC